UAUUUACAGAGCUUGUGUGCUGAACAAUAGUCUAGUCCCUGCAGCCAGAGAGGAGCACACUUGGUAGAAAAACAGCUUUGCCGCUGCCCUGGAGGACCUUGUGGAUUAAUGAGGACACAGAAAGGCUUUGAGAGAAAUCUGAAGAGUCAUCCCUGCGAAAGUGAAGGCUGACAACAGUACCCCAUUUCAGCGUGCCUACUUGGUUUACGGACAGCUGCCUGCGUGAUCAAUACUGCAGGGCUCAAGGAAAAGGGGCUGUAAGAAGAGAGAUGCAUUUUUAUCUCAGGCCAAGGGGAAGCGGAUCCACUUCUCAGGCACUGUGGUAAGGACUUGGGGU
rnacentral:lncRNA from 1 species